AGGGAUUAAGGUUCGUGUUGUUGUGACUAUCAGACUCUCAUCUCGUUCUCGCCUCUCUCUUGUUCACUCUCGUCGCGAAGACGAACGAAACGGCGGUGGCGCAACCUUCACCUAUGAAACCCUACGGCGCGCCACCAUGAAUAUAAUCAAGGCUCUACCUCCCCCGCUCAUCUCCCCGUUCUCUCAACCCCUCAUUGAUUAUCAGCUUAACCUAAACCUCUUAACCUAAAUCACAAAACCUUUGAAGAUCCAAAAUCAAACUUAAAUUGAAACGGAACCUGGAUUCGAGCGAUUAGCAAGAGAUUAGGACUCGGGAAAUCAAGAAUGGCGUCAAGCUCUUCAAGAACGAGCAGAGAAGCUUUGUAUCAUCUCAGUGGUGGCGAUAUGGCAGCUCCUUUGGGAAGCCUUCAGAUGAUGAUUCGAAGUGAAGCGAUUCAGAGAUGUUGUUGAAGCAGUUGAGGUCGGAAGCAAUUUGAUGAAGGUUCUCGAUGAGCUCUGAGUAUGGAUGAUUUUGAAGGAUUGAUGAAGAGGUUUUCUGUAUGGUGGAGAUUGUAGAUGAAGAUGGAUGAAGAACUCAGAAGAACGAAGAAGAAGAAUGAUUGAAUUGAGGAGAAUGGUUGAAGGGAAGAUGGUGAUGAAGUGAGAGUGAAAGUGUGAAUUGAAGGUUUCAGAGAGAAGGAGGAUUGAAGAUUCUGAAUAAUGGUGAAGAUGGAGGUGAAUGAAGAUGAAGAUGGUGAAUUGUGGAAAAUGGUGUGUGAAGAUUUUGAGGCUCUACCCUUCUUCCUUCAAAGUCUGCAAGCGAGACAAUGAUGAAGACUGAUAGUGCUUUUUUUUUUUUUUGGUCCAUUGUAGGUGGGUGAAGCUGACUAUUUAUAGGAGCAAUCAUUGAGUGAUCAUUAGGAAUCCUUAGAUGUGGGACUCAGCAUUAUAGCUUGCAAGGGCCAUAGCCAGUUAAAUCCGCUGUUUACAUUUGAUAUAGUGAACACAUCCAAGGAGCUAUUGGUAAAGUUAGAACCAUCAAAAUCUUGUAGCUGAUUUCCCCAGCAGUUGACUGGAAGAAGCACAAAGAUCCCGAUAACCCCAGGAUUCCAACAGAUGUCAAAAGAGCUGACACAAUCAUGUUCUCAACGAAAUCUCAGAGUAACAGUUUUCUAGUUGCUUUGACAAUGAAGAGAAGAAUAAAGAGAAAACUUGAAUGAAUGUAUCUAUGUGGGCUAGUGUAAUAUUUUUUGGUUGUAAUUUUGUAAUGAAUGAAUUUCCUGACUUGAAGCAUAACUUGUGAUAAAUGAUGAAUUGUGUAUAAAAAACAAACGGAUGAAGUUA